UCUACCUAGAUUAAAUGUGAUAAGGUCAAAAGUGCCCUUCCUGAUCGAAUGACCUUGCUACAGUACCCUAAUCUAUAAAAGGUUGGCACAGUUUCUGCCUGGGCCGUCUGGUUAUCACGAAGCUUAAGGAAAAUAUGCUUUGGUGAUGGCCAUGCCUGGCACAAUUGGAGCAGCUGAAAGGCCACUUUAGGUUGGUUGUUCCAGCAAGGUCACAGGGUCAGGCUCUCCCAUUUACUCUUACCUUAAUCUGCAUCUCUCUGAAGCGUAAUACGUAACUCGCUGGAGUGUCAAGAGCGUGUGAGAGAGAGAGGGGCAGCUUCAGUACAGAGCCCACAAGUGGGUAAAGGUGGCCACCAUCACUGACCCACUCCUCUUUAACGUCUCCCCCCGACAGGCUAUGAGCAGCAACAGGAGCAAGAGAAGCUGGAGCGGGAGAUGGCGCUGCUGCGUGGUGCCAUCGAGGACCAGAGGCGACGGGCUGAACUGCUGGAGCAGGCUCUGGGCAACGCGCAGAGCCGCGCCGCUCGAGCGGAGGAGGAGCUACGCAAGAAGCAGGCCUACGUGGAGAAGGUGGAGCGGCUGCAGCAGGCGCUGGGACAGUUGCAGGCUGCUUGUGAAAAGCGGGAGCAGCUGGAGCUGCGUCUGCGCACGCGCCUGGAGCAGGAACUCAAAGCCUUGCGCGCGCAGCAGAGGCAGACAGGCACCCUCACAGGUGGUGGCGGUAGCCACACUGGGUCCACGGAGCUCA
rnacentral:lncRNA from 1 species